rnacentral:misc_RNA from 1 species
UCAAACUUGGUCAUUUAGAGGAAGUAAAAGUCGUAACAAGGUUUCCGUAGGUGAACCUGCGGAAGGAUCAUUACCGAGUGCGGGCCCUCUGGGUCCAACCUCCCAUCCGUGUCUCUUGUACCCUGUUGCUUCGGCGGGCCCGCCUUUUGGCCGCCGGGGGGCUUCCCGCCCCCGGGCCCGCGCCCGCCGGAGACUCCAACACGAACACUGUCUGAAGGUUGCCGUCUGAGUUUUCAUAUACGAAAAAUCGUUAAAACUUUCAACAACGGAUCUCUUGGUUCCGGCAUCGAUGAAGAACGCAGC